GAUGAACACUGGCGGCGUGCUUAAUACAUGCAAGUCGAACGAAUUGAAGAUGUGCUUGCACAUCUGAUGUUAGUGGCGAACGGGUGAGUAAUACAUAGGCAACUUGCCCCAAGGACUGGGAUAACACUUAGGCAUGAGUGCUAAUACCGGAUAGGUAAUACAAAGGCAUCUUAGUAUUAUUAAAGUUGGGUAUCCAACACCAUGGGAUGGGCUUAUGCUGUAUUAGCUAGUUGGUGAGAUAAAAGCCCACCAAGGCGAUGAUACAUAGCUGGUCUGAGAGGAUGCAGAGCCACAGUGGGCCUGAGACACGGCCCAGACUGCUACGGGAGGCAGCAGUAAGGAAUUUUCGGCAAUGGAGGAGACUCUGACCGGGCAACGCCGCGUGAGUGAGGAAGGCCUUCGGGUUGUAAAGCUCUGUUGUAAAGGAAGAAUGUAUAGAAAAGGAAAUGUUUCUAUAGUGACGGUACUUUACUAGAAAGUCACGACUUACUACGUGCCAGCAGCGGCCGUAAUAC
rnacentral:rRNA from 1 species